AUUCACCAUAGGGCUCAGCCAUUCCUAGAGGAAUUCUAGGCACCUUGGAAAAAAGCGAAAUCGCGCUAGGGAUUUCAGCCGAUCUGGCAGCUCUUCCGAUGCCACUGGCGCGCCUUUUAAUCCAAAGCGCCUUUUUCGUGUCUCAUGUUUGCUCGUUUAUUGCGGAGGCCUAUAUAUGCUUCAAGAUGCUGGAAAAGGAUCACUUCCAAGUAAUCUGGAAGGCUGAUGCCAAGUACAUCUUGUGCGAGAAGCUUGAUAUGAUUCCUGACCUGGAACCGGAGUUGAUGGAGGGCACCACUGUGGCCUACCGAUGUCCGGCGUCAAAGGAAUCGGCCCUGCAGUGGAUUCAGCUGUACCAAGAGGCCGCCAACAUCACCCUGACGACGUACGACUCCAUGUCGAAUGGCCAAAGGGUGGUGUACUGGGUGAGAGCUUUAGUUUAUGAAAUACCAGUUUGGGCUCGCCGUGUAAAGCUCGGCAGGGGGGUACUUUUGCCCGAGCACUCGACCUGGGCCCGCCAAUGGAAAAUUCUGCUGGUGCAGAGCCUCCUGAGGGUUCAGCAAAGACCCGCCGUAUGAAAGCCUGUCGGGGUCUACUGACAGAGGGCCCGGCGGCC